AGCCAUGAUCCAUUUGUAGGGGAAACUUUUGACUCAUGAAUUCUACAUCAUACCGGUUGCCUCUCAGUUUCUGGAAAGCCAUGGGAGUUUAAGGGGGAUGUGAAGCAGAAGCAUUUGGAUUACAGCCUGGAUAGGAAAUGGCUGAAGAGCAUCAUGGAAUUUGAUCAUUUGUUGGACUUUGCAGGUAUCCAGGGAGAGCGGCUGCACAACUAAAGCUGAGAGUUUCCUGAAGAGAUGCAGUUGCUGCUGCUCCUGUGGAACACAUGUAAAUGCGGUAAAGGGAACAUUUCCUGCCAUUAAGGAGAAUCAGCAUAAUUGCUGCAGAUGGGCUUAGCUUAGGUGAGCUGUGAUGGCUCUGACUGCAACCCAUUGUUCCAUUGUUCCCACCACUGCUUUUGACCCGUUCCCGUUCGCCAUGACCUGUCACCCCUGGUUAGCACUCUGGCUUCAGCUCGCCUCUUCCCUUGCUUUUUCUCCUUCCUCGUAUGAAUACAAUAGUUAUGAGAAGAAAUUUGCCAUCUAUACCUUGCACAUCCAAGGAGAACGUAUCAUAGACGCACAACAUGACACAGUGAAUUAGAAAGUUGAUUUUACAGAAAAACGUUUUGUUGAGAAUUUUACCCUUUUGUGGUCUUUGACAGACUUUUUCAGCAGGCGCCUUCCAGGCAGCUCUGUAACAUCUAGACUGAACUGUGUGUUCUGCUGCAUUCAAUGGAAAACAUGAUCAACAGCACAGCGGCAUCCCAGCGGCCCAGCAGAUAAAGCAACUGUAUUGUUAAAUCUUAGCAGUUUUCUGACUCUGGAACCAUACUAGUUAUUUACUAAGGAUAUCUGUAAUACCGAUAUCAAACUAGCUCCAAGCAUUCAGUCAAUAUACAAACCUCCCUCUUGCCAGCGAAAAGACUCUGAAAGCAAAUUUUCUGUAAAAGAGUAAUAAAUGUUAAAUUACUACAAAGCUCAUUCAGAAAUUGUAGCAUUCACCAUGGUAUAUUUUAGGCGUGUUUCUUUUUUCUUUUCUUAUGAAAGUAAAGGUCACACGUUGGUUGACCCACCGCACACAUACAUUGUGAUUGCCAAUUCUGUAUGAUUUUUGUUUUAAUUAUGAUUCCAAUGUGAUUUUAUUAUGCAUGAUAACCCUUAAGCUGACUGUCUGCAAUGGAUGGGGACAUAGAGGUUUGUCUAAAUUUUUACAAGUGUGCUGAAAGUUUCUUUUGUCUAACACACCAGCUAAGUUCUUGAUUAGAUAAGGAACUAAGAAAACCACUCUGGUGGAUAAGAUGGCAAUCAAAUGUGGAAAUCUUCACUGUAUAGAGCACCCUGGGGUUUGUUAAAUAUCGGCAGAUCUGCUUGUUGUAAGUGACAAUGUUUAUUCUUGCAAGUGAAUUCCAAGAUAGCUUGGGUUCCUUGAGGUUUAAUCUUGGCCCUUUUUUGUUUCUCUGAUUAGUUGAAAACUGUAGCAGGUCACCCAGGCUCUUUGAAGGAUGAAGGGCUCAUUCCAGGGUGAGGCCCAAUGAAUUUGUGAAUGAAUGAAAAGUUAAUU